GUAAGUCAACAAACUUUUAUGAAGUAGCUACCCAGUGGCAAGCACUGUGUUGUGCUCAGAAGACGUACUGAAAGGCAAAAACAUAAAACAGUGUCUGCUCUCAAGGAGCUCAUCAUCUCACCGGGGAGACAACAUGUGGACAGCUAUGUAGAAACAAGAUGUGUGCAAGAUAAAUUGGAAAUAAUCAACAGAGGGAAGGGAUUAACUUCUUGAAGAAGAUGGGAUUUUAGCUGAGAAUUGAAGGAUGCUAGAGAAACUAGGAGAUAAGGAGAGACAGAACUCUAGGCCUGGCUCCCAAGAGCCAGGGAAAAUGCAUGGAAGACAAGGUUGGAGAAGAGAAAGACUGCUUAAGAAGCUAAUACUCCAGCUUGGAAAGCCAAUCAUGCCCACCUGAAUGGAAACCUUCUACUCCUUAUAAAACACCUGAAUUGCCAUAAGUGAGCUAUAUUGAAUCAUGGACUGAGAAGUCCUGGAUCACUAUGGACUUCUUUUUCCUGAGACAGCCUGAAGACCAUCAAACCAGAGGUUCCCUGAUGAAAUUCUUGAUUGUGUCUCUCCCCUGUACUUCCCAGCUCUGCUUUGGGGCCUAAGUGUGGGGCCCUAGCCCAAUCCUAGCCCAAUAGGAAAGACCCUAGUGCCCUUCCUUUUUUGUUCUACUUACCAGCAAUGCCCCUCCCCCAACCCCCUUGAGUGUCUCCAGUUAAGCAACAUCCUUUUAACCAUGUCAAAUAAAAGAACCUAUUGCUUUCAGUA